rnacentral:rRNA from 1 species
CCUACGGGAGGCAGCAGCAGGGAAUAUUGUGCAAUGAACGAAAGUUUGACACAGCGACACCGCGUGUGGGAUGACGGAUCUAGGUUUGUAAACCACUUUCAGGAGGGAAGAAAAUGACGGUACCUCCACAAGAAGCCCCGGCCAACUACGUGCCAGCAGCCGCGGUAAUACGUAGGGGGCGAGCGUUGUCCGGAUUUAUUGGGCGUAAAGAGCUCGUAGGCGGUUCAACAAGUCGGUCGUGAAAGUUCAGGGCUCAACCCUGAAAUGUCGAUCGAUACUGUUGUGACUAGGAUACGGUAGAGGUGAGUGGAAUUCCGAGUGUAGCGGUGAAAUGCGUAGAUAUUCGGAGGAACACCAAUUGCGAAGGCAGCUCACUGGACCGCUAUCGACGCUGAGGAGCGAAAGCUAGGGGAGCAAACAGGAUUAGAUACCCUGGUAGUCCUAGCUGUAGACGAUGGAUACUAGACGUAGGAACUGGAUUGACGGUUUCUGUGUCGUAGCUAACGCGUUAAGUAUCCCGCCUGGGGAGUACGGUCGCAAGACUAAAACUCAAAGGAAUUGACGG